UAGGGAAUCUUGGACAAUGGGCGAAAGCCUGAUCCAGCCAUGCCGCGUGGAUGAUGAAGGCCUUCGGGUUGUAAAGUCCUUUUCUGAGGGAAGAACAUCUAGGGCAGGAAAUGGCCCUGGCUUGACGGUACCUCAGGAAUAAGCAACGGCUAACUCCGUGCCAGCAGCCGCGGUAAUACGGAGGUUGCGAGCGUUGUUCGGAAUAACUGGGCGUAAAGGGGGCGCAGGCGGCUUGGCCAGUCUAAAGUGAAAGCCCGGGGCUUAACCUCGGGGGUGCUUUGGAUACUGCCAAGGUUGAGGACGGGAGAGGAGAGUGGAAUUCCAGGGGUAGCGGUGAAAUGCGUAGAUAUCAGGAGGAACACCGGUGGCGAAAGCGGCUCUCUGGCCCGAUACUGACGCUCAGGCCCGAAAGCGUGGGG
rnacentral:rRNA from 1 species